UACGGAGGGUGCGAGCGUUAAUCGGAAUUACUGCGCGUAAAGCGCGGGUAGGUGGCUGGUUAAGUUGGAUGUGAAAGCCCCGGGCUCAACCUGGGAACUGCAUACGAUACUGGUCGGCUAGAGUAUGAGAGAGGGAGGUAGAAUUCCACGUGUAGCGGUGAAAUGCGUAGAUAUGUGGAGGAAUACCGGUGGCGAAGGCGGCCUCCUGGCUUAAUACUGACGCUGAGGUGCGAAAGCGUGGGGAGCAAACAGG
rnacentral:misc_RNA from 1 species